GCAUAUCCAUAAGCGGGAGGAAAAAGAAACCAACAGGGGAUUGCCUCAGUAACGGCGAGUGAAGCGGCAACAGCUCAAAUUUGAAAUCUGGCCCUUUCAGGGUCCGAGUUGUAAUUUGUAGAGGAUGUUUCGGGUGUGGCUCCGGUCUAAGUUCCUUGGAACAGGACGUCAUAGAGGGUGAGAAUCCCGUAUGUGACUGGUAGCCUAUGCCCAUGUGAAACUCCUUCGACGAGUCGAGUUGUUUGGGAAUGCAGCUCAAAAUGGGUGGUAAAUUUCAUCUAAAGCUAAAUAUUGGCCAGAGACCGAUAGCGCACAAGUAGAGUGAUCGAAAGAUGAAAAGCACUUUGGAAAGAGAGUUAAACAGUACGUGAAAUUGUUGAAAGGGAAGCGCUUGCAACCAGACUUGCAUGUAGCUGAUCAACCGGUGUUCUCACCGGUGCACUCAGUUGCGUUCAGGCCAGCAUCGGUUUCGACGGUUGGAUAAAGGCCUUGGGAAUGUAGCUCCUCUCGGGGAGUGUUAUAGCCCAGGGUGCAAUGCAGCCUGUUGGGACCGAGGACCGCGCUUCGGCUAGGAUGCUGGCGUAAUGGUUGUAAGCGACCCGUCUUGAAACACGGACCAAGGAGUCUAACAUCUAUGCGAGUGUUUGGGUGUCAAACCCAUACGCGUAAUGAAAGUGAACGGAGGUGAGAACCCUUAAGGGUGCAUCAUCGACCGAUCCUGAUGUCUUCGGAUGGAUUUGAGUAAGAGCAUAGCUGUUGGGACCCGAAAGAUGGUGAACUAUGCCUGAAUAGGGUGAAGCCAGAGGAAAACUCUGGUGGAGGCUCGCAGCGGUUCUGACGUGCAAAUCGAUCGUCAAAUUUGGGUAUAGGGGGCGAAAGACUAAUCGAACCAUCUAGUAGCUGGUUCCUGCCGAA
rnacentral:rRNA from 1 species